rnacentral:rRNA from 1 species
UACAGAGGGUGCAAGCGUUAAUCGGAAUUACUGGGCGUAAAGCGCGCGUAGGUGGUUUGUUAAGUUGAAUGUGAAAUCCCCGGGCUCAACCUGGGAACUGCAUCCAAAACUGGCAAGCUAGAGUAUGGUAGAGGGUAGUGGAAUUUCCUGUGUAGCGGUGAAAUGCGUAGAUAUAGGAAGGAACACCAGUGGCGAAGGCGGCUACCUGGACCAACACUGACACUGAGGUGCGAAAGCGUGGGGAGCAAACAGG